rnacentral:rRNA from 1 species
AUGGCAGCAGAGAACAAUCGGCACUGGAAGCCACCGUCGUCGUGGUCAGCCCUCCCGCUGGAACUGGCAGGCCUGGUGCUCCGCUUGCUCCCCGCAUACGCCGACCGCGCCCGGUUCGCCGCGGUGUGCCCACAGUGGCGUGCCGCAGCCAGGCAGAAGCUGACGCCCCCUCCACUGCCGCUGCUCGCGCUCCCUGACGGCACCUUCUACAGCCUCCCCUACGGCGAGCUCUUCCGCUUCCCCGGCUGCGGCUUUGCUGGGUACAAGAGCGCCUGCGGCAGCUGGCUUGUCUUCCCCCGCGACGAUGGGUGCUUCCUUGUCAACCCUUUCUCCAGGGCCACCGUGACGCUCCCUGCUCUCUCGAGCGUCCGACUCCGGCCUCCAAAUGCAGUCACUAAGUGGUCAGAUGUGGGAAAGGCGAAAUGUGCCGAACCUUUCUGCACAUGGAUGCAUAUCAAUGAUUCAGAGGAGCUGCACAUAAUUAAGCUGCUCCUGUGCUCGCCAAACCUCGUUGCUGCACUGGUCGGUGUUGAAUACACCAGUCAGAUCCUAAUGUGCCAGCCAGGGGCCUUGUCGUGGUCGGUACGUGCAUGCGAUGAGUGUAAGGAUUUUGAAGACAUGGCAUUCUACCAGGGAAAGCUCUAUGCCAUCACCGAUGAUGAGGACCUCCUUGUGGUGAACGUCAGCAGUGACCAAAGCACCGGCGAUCCACAGGUUUCUCGGGUUGGAAGGGUCAUCAAGGCCAAGGGUGACCAUUGCUACAAGGGGGACCUCAGUGUCUACCAUGUUGUGUGUCGAGAGAACUCUGUACCCGUCAUGCCCGUCAAGAAGGUCUAUCUGGUUGAAUCGUGUGGCGCGUUGCUGAUGGUACGCAGGAAGAUUUGGUGCCAGGCUCCUAGACCUGGAGUGACCAGUAAAAUUGUUGCUGGAAAGAGCGAGUUUGAGGUAUUCAAGGCUGACUUUGAGCAUUCACGGUGGAUCAAGGUGUCGACCGUGGGGGAUGACCAGGUUCUGUUUGUAGGGCGAAGGUGCUCCAGGGCUCUGUCUGCGUCUCGGUAUGGCUUACUGGGCAAUCGCAUCUUCUUUUUGGAUGACGAUGACGAGCAUCGCGUGGACUACUUCUACGACAAGGAGAACACGUCUUGCAGCUCCUAUGACAUGAGACUCGGCGAUGUCUCUUCCCCUCAUCCAAUGAUUUCCUGGAAGCGCCGCAAAGAGAUGCGUCUGGCAGCAUGGCUAUUCCCCCAGGACUGA